rnacentral:rRNA from 1 species
UACGGAGGAGGCUAGCGUUGCUCGGAAUCACUGGGCGUAAAGCGCACGUAGGCGGACUCUUAAGUCGGUGGUGAAAUCCUGGAGCUCAACUCCAGAACUGCCUUCGAUACUGGGAGUCUCGAGUCCGGGAGAGGUGAGUGGAACUGCGAGUGUAGAGGUGAAAUUCGUAGAUAUUCGCAAGAACACCAGUGGCGAAGGCGGCUCACUGGCCCGGUACUGACGCUGAGGUGCGAAAGCGUGGGGAGCAAACAGG